GAUGAACGCUGGCGGCGUGCCUAAUACAUGCCAGUCGAGCGAACGGACGAGAAGCUUGCUUCUCUGAUGUUAGCGGCGGACGGGUGAGUAACACGUGGAUAACCUACCUAUAAGACUGGGAUAACUUCGGGAAACCGUAGCUAAUACCGGAUAAUAUUUUGAACCGCAUGGUUCAAAAGUGAAAGACGGUCUUGCUGUCACUUAUAGAUGGAUCCGCGCUGCAUUAGCUAGUUGGUAAGGUAACGGCUUACCAAGGCAACGAUGCAUAGCCGACCUGAGAGGGUGAUCGGCCACACUGGAACUGAGACACGAUCCAGACUCCUACGGGAGGCAGCAGUAGGGAAUCUUCCGCAAUGGGCGAAAGCCUGACGGAGCAACGCCGCGUGAGUGAUGAAGGUCUUCGGAUCGUAAAACUCUGUUAUUAGGGAAGAACAUAUGUGUAAGUAACUGUGCACAUCUUGACGGUACCUAAUCAGAAAGCCACGGCUAACUACGUG
rnacentral:rRNA from 1 species